AGAGCGCUUGCUUUGCACGCAGCAACCAACAUAGCCGCGCACUCUGCAAAGCGCCGCCAGAUCACCCUUCGUGCUACAGUUAUAACAAAGUUUAAAGCGUACGCGUCGCUUGGUUUGCGUCCUGGUCCCUUGUCUCAGUGACCGAGGCUAUUGUCUGUGAGCUGGAGCGGAGCUCAGCAGUGCGGCGCAGUGUCCAGUUACAUAGCGCGCUGCGCGAGGAGACACGAGGACAGAAAAAUAUACAACCCUGGAGAGACGCAUAGAGAGAGAGACCUGGGAAAUCUGCUCAGUAGUCAGAGACUGAGUUACUGGACGUUUUGGAUAUGAGAACGCAAACUGUGAUUACUCUAUCUUUACCUUCAUUUCCCUGAGCCACGCCAACGCUCAUCUUCUUCUUCAGACUGGUUGAAACUCGCAGCGUUGCUCCUGCUAGAUGAACGGGUGUAGUUGGAGACUUAACUUGGCGUGUCUCUCCGAUGCGAUUGGCUCACGGCCCAACAGGAAGUGAGCGACACCCCACCUCCCCAUGGCUCCGCCUUCGGCGGGUCGCUCCUCCCUUACCCAGCAUGUUGUGCUGCUUCUGCAGUGCAUUCUAGUCCUGCAGGCUGGGGGCGUGGUCUGCAGGAAAGGGCCGGUGCUGCUGUCUGAGUCACCCUGUCACCGGGCUGAACACCCCCUUAUCUCACACACAGAUAUGGAGCCGUGGAUUCACAGGUUCCGGGCUGAGGGCACGGUGGAUUACUCUCAGCUAACCUUUGACCCCAGCCAGAACGAACUGAUAGUUGGAGCCAGAAACCACCUGUUCAGACUCAAUCUGGAGGACCUCUCGCUGAUCCAGGAGGCGGAAUGGCACUGUGAUGAGUUCACUAAGGGAGCCUGCUUCAGCCGGGGCAAGUCAGAGGAGGAAUGUCAGAACUACAUCAGAGUUUUGCUGGUGAAUGGAGACAGACUGUUUACAUGCGGAACCAACGCUUUCACACCAGUCUGCACCAACCGCACUCUGACCAACCUGACAGAGAUCCAUGACCAGAUCAGUGGGAUGGCCCGUUGUCCCUACAACCCUCUCCAUAACUCCACAGCCCUGAUCACCUCCAGUGGAGAUCUGUAUGCUGCUACCGCCAUGGACUUCUCUGGCAGAGACCCAGCUAUCUACCGCAGUCUGGGGGGGCUGCCGCCUCUACGCACCGCACAGUACAACUCCAAAUGGCUGAAUGAGCCUAACUUUGUCUCAUCCUACGACAUCGGGAACUUCACCUACUUCUUCUUUCGGGAGAACGCUUUGGAACACGACUGCGGUCGGACCGUGUUCUCACGUGCUGCCCGGGUCUGUAAGAACGACAUUGGAGGACGCUUCCUAUUGGAGGACACCUGGACCACGUUCAUGAAGGCACGGUUGAACUGCUCUCGACCGGGGGAGAUACCGUUCAACUAUAAUGAACUCCAGGGGACGUUCUACCUGCCAGAGUUAGACCUACUCUAUGGGAUCUUCACUACUAACGUGAAUAGCAUAGCAGCGUCUGCGGUGUGUGCCUUCAACCUCAGUGCCAUCACCCGUGUGUUCGGUGGCCCCUUCAAGUACCAGGAGAACUCUCGCUCCGCCUGGCUACCUUACCCCAACCCUAACCCUGACUUUCAGUGUGGUACCAUAGACUAUGGUUCCUAUUUGAACCUGACAGAGAGGAACCUGCAGGAUGCCCAAAAGUUCCUGCUGAUGAAUGAGGUGAUCCAGCCGGUCCAGCCUGUCCCUUACUUCAUGGAGGACAACGUUCGCUUCUCCCACGUAGCUGUGGACGUGGUGCAAGGCAAAGACAUGCUGUUCCACAUCAUCUACCUGGCUACAGACUAUGGCACCAUCCGUAAGGUCCUGUCUCCUCUGAACCAGUCCAUGGGCAGCUGUCUAUUGGAUGAGAUUGAGUUGUUUCCGCCCAGGAGGAGACAGCCAAUCAGAAGCCUCCUGAUCCUGCACAGCAGCAGUGAACUGUAUGUCGGGGUCAGGGACCAAGUCAUCAAGAUACCGCUGAUGAGAUGCGACUUUCACAAGACCAGAGAGGGGUGUGUGGGGGCGAGGGACCCCUACUGUGGCUGGGACCUGGUGUUAAGGAAGUGUACCACCCUGGAGGAAAGCGUCAGCAUGAGCCAAUGGGAACAGAGCAUCACUAAAUGCCCUGUGCGUAACGUGACGUUGGAUGGAGGGUUUGGGCCAUGGACAGGCUGGGGGGCCUGUAGCCAUACUGAUGGGGCCAGUGCUGGUUCCUGCCUGUGUAGGACCAGGCCUUGUGAUAAUCCCACACCCCAGUGUGGGGGUCAGUCCUGUCACGGACUCAGCGUGGAGGUCGCCAACUGCUCCAGGAAUGGUGUGUGGAGCCCCUGGACUCUGUGGGUCCCCUGUAGCACCAGCUGUGGCAUUGGCUUCCAGGUCCGACAGAGGUCCUGCAGCAACCCCACCCCGCGCCACGGAGGACGAGUGUGUGUGGGGCAGAACAGAGAGGAAAGGUAUUGCAACGAGCACCUGCCCUGCCCACCGCAUGUCUAUUGGUCGGCAUGGUCAGCAUGGGAACGCUGCACGGUGCCCUGUGGAGGCGGCAUCCAAUCACGCCGCAGGACCUGUGAGAACGGUAACGAGUGCCCCGGGUGUGCUCAGGAGUACCAGUCGUGUAACACCCUGCCGUGUCCUGACCUGAAGAAGACCACCCCCUGGACCCCCUGGACGCCGGUCAACAUCUCGGACAACGGCGGUCACUACGAGCAGCGGUUCCGGUACACCUGUAAGGCCCGUGUCCCUGAACCUGCUCUGCUGGAAGUGGGCCGACAGAGGAUAGAGAUGAGAUACUGCUCCAGGGACGGUUCCACUGGAUGCUCUACUGACAGAGAUCUGCUGCGGUCGGGUAAGAUCUCCGGCCACACUGUGAACAGAGACUGGACAUCCUGGAGCUCCUGGUCUCAGUGCAGUAGAGACUGCAGCCGAGGGAUACGUAGCCGUAAACGGUUCUGUGACUCCCCUGAACCACCCCACGGAGGACAGACCUGCCUGGGACCUGCUCAGGAGUACCAGGAGUGUAACAUCACACCCUGCCCAGUGGAUGGUAGCUGGUCGUGCUGGUCUGGCUGGUCUAUGUGUUCAGUGACGUGUGGAGGGGGACACUAUACGAGGACGCGCACCUGCAACAACCCUCCACCAGCCUAUGGAGGAGAUAUAUGUCUGGGACUACACACUGAAGAGGCUCUCUGUAACAUACAAUCAUGUCCAGAGAGUUGGUCUAACUGGUCCCUAUGGUGCCAAUGUGACAGUUCUGGCUCCCAGCUGCGUGUUCGACACUGCAAUGUCCUGUUCCCUACUGGAAACCAAUGUUCAGGAAACCACACUGAGACCAGGGCCUGCCCACCUGACUCCAACUUUAUACCGGAAGUCUCCAUCGCUCGUUCCAGUCAGGAGGAGAGAAGAUGUGGAGAUUUCAACGUGUUCCAUAUGAUUGCUGUAGGCCUGAGUAGUUCUAUCCUGGGUUGUUUGGUCACCUUACUGGUGUACACCUACUGCCAGCGCUACCAGCAGCAGUCUCACGACGCUACGGUCAUCCACCCCAUCUCAGCAUCACCACUCAACACCUCCAUCACCAACCACAUCAACAAACUGGACAAAUACGACUCGGUGGAGGCCAUUAAGCCCGAUGUGUCUGUACUCUUGACCCUGGACGACCCCGGCAUGUGCCAGCCUCUGUCUACUAACAUGGGUGUGUCCAUGCGUGGCUUGGAGAUUUUCUACUAACUUUCUACUGACCUCUACAACACCCCGCCUCUUGACCCACCUCCUAGCCUAUCAACAACCUCCUUCCACUUCCUCUUCCUCUCCACCGUGCCCCCACUUCUGGUGGUGCUUCCUGUGUGCGUCAGGUUUCCAAUAAGAACAACCUGAUUCUGGAGGAAAGAAAUAAGUACUUCAACCCCCAGUUAGCCGGGAAGACUUACACCAAUUCAUACUUCACUGACCUCAACACUUACGAUGACUAUUAACCCUUUGUUGGGCUACAGCAUCGGGGAUACACACCCUUGUGCAGACAACAAACCCACACCACUCGUUAUGACAAUGUCCUAUAUUUUUCCACUUCAUAAUGAAAUCUAUGACAUUUUAUGUGGGACCCUCCCGCUCUGGGACCCAUUGGCAGCUGCCAUCCAAUCAAAUUACAGCCACACGGCGAUGUCAUCGAAGGGACAGGCCCACUUCUCCUCAAGUGCUCGGCUGGGGUUCACCCGGGAAAGUUCUAGUUUGGAAAUUAAAAAAAUCAACAACAACAAGAUCUUGACUUGAUUCCCACGAACAUGGAAACAACUGGAAUUUCGAUUUUUAUUGGAGGAAAGGAGAGAAGAAAAAGGAAACUCGAAGACCUUUCUGAAUGGGAAGGACCCUGCUGUGAUAUCCUGUCAACUCUCUGGUUCCAAAACUGUGUCGGUUCCGGGGGAAGAAAACAAUCCAACUGCUUUGCAUGAUUUUAUCUGUCACUCUGUUCAGUUUUGCAUGGUUGGUAGCAGUCCAGGGCUUGGGGCCUUGCAGGCAGGCACGCAGGCCACUCACUGUCCACUGUGCUAGUGUCCUACAGAGGACCCCAAAGGGGUGGCGUUAGUUAUGCUUGAUGAAUUUGAUCCAACUCUAAUAGUCAAGUGCUUAGCGUACCCAGAUUAGCUGUCACUCAAUAGCUACCCCAGGUCGUUGUGGAUUUAAACCAAUUACAACUCUGCAUUAUUGUAGACUUUUGUUAAACCGAUCUUGUUCUAUACCGUCUACCGUUGAGUAACUAAAAUACUAGCCCUUUUGUUUAAAGAGGGGGCUGGUUAUUCAAAUAAAGACAGCCAUCUAUCAGGAUGUAGAUAUUUUAGAGAUGUGUCCAUGUUUCUUUCUCUUACGGGGCUGACGUUGGUGUAGCAGUGGUUGAGAUAUCAGUGUAUAAUCUUUCUUGCUUUUUGUUGAUGUACAGUAAGCUCAUUUGUAAGCAUAUUUCUCUGUGUCUUUAUAGGUCCAUUUACUCAAUGUCAGUAUUAAAAUCAAUCAUUUUCUUUGUUACGGCAAAGAAGUAAUGGAAAUUGAGAAGAAAAAAUUGCCCGGGAAUAUAUAAGUAGAUCAUGUUCAAACUGUCAUCAUACUUGUUAAUAUUAUUUAAAUAUGUGGUACUUUUCAAGGUGAAACAUCUCUCUUUUGUUUAAAGAUGUACAUUCAUAUUCAGUACGUUGAUUUCUUCAAUGUUUUCAAUUGUAACUAUUUUUUUUUAAACGUUUGCUUGUUUUAUUGUGGAUAAAUGAAUAAAAAACGCUUCGUAUA